rnacentral:lncRNA from 1 species
UGAUAAUUCUGAAAAAAAUAAAGUAUUUCUUAGUUGUUUGCUAACAGCAGAAUAGCAAUCAGUCACCACAGGGUUACUACAAUGGGCAUCAUUAUAUCUGGAUCCUUAUCAAUUUCACUAUAUGGUGGGAAAAUUUUUCUGAGCCUUCAGCUGGUCCUUGCCCAUUCUGGAAGAGUGCUUGGAGGAUCUCUUUCUUCAUGAUUUACAGUCUAAUCAGGUACAGACCUAGAACCAAACCCCUCCCCAAGCCAAACCAGCAGCUCUGGGGAGAAAACCUGCUCCU